CCUACGGGUGGCAGCAGUGGGGAAUAUUGCACAAUGGGGGAAACCCUGAUGCAGCAACGCCGCGUGAGUGAAGAAGUAUUUCGGUAUGUAAAGCUCUAUCAGCAGGGAAGAAGAUGACGGUACCUGAAUAAGAAGCACCGGCUAACUACGUGCCAGCAGCCGCGGUAAUACGUAGGGGGCAAGCGUUAUCCGGAUUUACUGGGUGUAAAGGGAGCGCAGACGGCAGUGCAAGUCUGGAGUGAAAGCCCGGGGCCCAACCCCGGAACUGCUCUGGAAACUGUGCGGCUAGAGUACCGGAGAGGUCAUCGGAAUUCCUGGUGUAGCGGUGAAAUGCGUAGAUAUAAGGAAGAACACCAGUGGCGAAGGCGGAUGACUGGACGGCAACUGACGGUGAGGCGCGAAAGCGUGGGGAGCAAACAGGAUUAGAUACCCCAGUAGUC
rnacentral:rRNA from 1 species